GUCAAACACUCCUACUUAGAACCUGGAGGGGUGCAAAACAGAAAGUGUGAGUAGGCAAAAACAAAGCUUUUCAAAACCAUUUCAAUUAUCAAAAGUAAUAACCCCUCGCUGGAAAACCUGUAUAAUUCCUAGAAAAUAGAAUACAUAUCUAUAUCAAAACCAUGCUCGAGAUAGCAAAUCUAAACGUAUACCAUGCCAAAUAUUUGAGUAUAAUGAAAUAAGUUCACCACAUGAAAUAUAUCAAUGAAAAGUAACAUAUCAGCCUAAUCCACCUAGUGUGGCCUGUACGGCUGAACCAUAGCUCCUCAAAUAUACCUGCACACAAGUCGAAACUACCUAAAGUGGUCUGUAUGACAGGAUUGGGUGUAAAUAAAUACGCUCAAGUGCUACGAUCACAUGAAGACUGUGCGAAUAAUCACGGGUCACCUACAAGUCGGAACCAGCUAUAGUGGUGUGUAUGACAGGACUGUGCACCUAACUUGGAUCCAAAGUAAGCGUAUGGUGCGGGAGGUGAACAUCAUGUGAAGGAAUGUGCCCUAUCCACGGGCGAGAGCACUAACACCGGGGUGUAGGUUUAUGAGCUCUAAAUACAUCAAAUAUAAUUGUAACCAAGCAACUCACAUCCACCAUCUAUAAACUUACCUGGAACUUACCUGAGUGUUCGCAGCACCAACAAUAAUAUAUGCAAAUGCAUAUUCUAAAUAUAAAACAUUUGGCAUGGCAUUCAAAACAUAAACCAUUUAAAUAAGUUUUUUGGGAAAAAUACCAAGCAUAUAUACAUAUAUUGAAAACCAAAAGCCCACUCACUGGUAUGUGGUAGGGUCGUAACCCCCGAGUCUCGCUUGACUGCGCUCGUCGUCUGGAAACAUCUCACCUAUAUGUGAAACAACUAUUAUAACGUUAUUUUAAGCACAUAUCCAAAACUAGGAAAUAACUUCUCAUACAUUGCGCAAUUAGAGUAUUUGAAUAUACCAUCGUGGUCUACUCAACAUCACGAACAUCCCUAUAUUUUUAGAAAAUUUUUCUAAGUUCCCACACGCCCUCACG
rnacentral:lncRNA from 1 species